rnacentral:rRNA from 1 species
UCGGGAAUUUUGGGCAAUGGGCGCAAGCCUGAUCCAGCCAUGCCGCGUGAAGGAUGAAGGCGCUCAGCGUUGUAAACUUCUUUUUGGACGGGAACAAUACCCCUGAUGCGUCAGGGCUUGAGGGUACCGUCAGAAUAAGCACCGGCUAACUCCGUGCCAGCAGCCGCGGUAAUACGGAGGGUGCAAGCGUUAUCCGGAAUCACUGGGUUUAAAGGGUGCGUAGGCGGUCUUGUAAGUCAGUCGUGAAAUCGCUGGGCUCAACCCAUGCAAUUGCGAUUGAUACUGCGAGACUUGAAUGGGGUUAAGGCAGGCGGAAUGUGGCAUGUAGCGGUGAAAUGCAUAGAUAUGCCAUAGAACACCGAUUGCGAAGGCAGCCUGCUGGGCCUUUAUUGACGCUGAGGCACGAAAGCGUGGGGAGCAAACAGGAUUAGAUACCCCUGUAGUCCCUGAGCGGGCUGGCAAGGCGCAU